GCGGUAGUAGCUCAGUUGGUAGAGUGCCACCUUGCCAAGGUGGAUGUCGCGGGUCCGAGUCCCGUCUACCGCUCCA
rnacentral:tRNA from 4 species